UUUCCGUAGGUGAACCUGCGGAAGGAUCAUUAUUGGAUGACAAAAUUACGAAUCCUGUCCCUUGCUUUGGCUGCCCGCCACGCCCGCGUGCCCACACACACAUUCAUCGCACCCCUAUGCGCACCACCUGGAUCAUCACCCCAUGCACUACUCGUAACAGCGCUUCCCUUUUCACACGCACUUUUUAUGCACGGAACAAUGUAUAUUUUCUCUUUUCUGUCCCGCAAUCAAGACAUCUUUCAACAACGGACCUCUUGGCUCUCGAAUCGAUGAAGAACC
rnacentral:misc_RNA from 1 species